rnacentral:rRNA from 1 species
CAUUACCCUUCUUAAUCAGAGGUUUAGCCUUCAGUGGCCGUAUACCUUUCUGAUUUUACCCAUGAUUUUGCGCACUAUUUGUUUCCUCGGCGGGCUUGCCCGCCGAUUGGACACCCUACAACCCUUGUAAUUGCAAUCAGCGUCAGUAACAAGUAAUUAUUACAACUUUCAACAACGGAUCUCUUGGUUCUGGCAUCGAUGAAGAACGCAGCGAAAUGCGAUAAGUAGUGUGAAUUGCAGAAUUCAGUGAAUCAUCGAAUCUUUGAACGCACAUUGCGCCCCAUGGUAUUCCGUGGGGCAUGCCUGUUCGAGCGUCAUUUGUACCCUCAAGCCUAGCUUGGUGUUGGGCGUUUGUCUCGCGCUUUUGCGCGUAGACUCGCCUUAAAACAAUUGGCAGCCGGCACAUUGGCCUGGAGCGCAGCACAUUUUGCGCCUCUUGCCCCUGUUGUUAGCACCCAUCAAGAACAUUUUUGCUCUUGACCUCGGAUCAGGUAGGGAUACCCGCUGAACUUAAGCAUAUCAAUA